rnacentral:lncRNA from 1 species
UUACCAUUGAUGCGUCAUUCGAAUUGUUGUCAGAACGCCGUUCGUUCAGUUGCUUGUGGAAACCAUGGAUUUCAGAGCUGCGGUUGUCGCGCUGGUCUUGUUGUACAAACUUACUUGCAAGUUUCACCCCGAUAUCACGUCCUCUAAAACGCAUGCUGAUGUUCGGAAAUCAGGAUAUUUGAGCUCUUUGUGGAGAAACAUUAACAACGUCCUUCCCCCCACUUUUCUGGAGAAACCAGUUGUUCAGGAACCAGGGUUUUUCAGCUCUUUGCAGAGAAAAAUUGAUAACAUCCUUCCGAACUGUUUUCUAAAGGUAUUAUCAAACAUUUCACUCCAGAAACACAUGUAUUUAAAUUGAUGGGAUGUAAAUGUAUACCAUGAUAACACACAGGCCGCCCUGCUAAAGCGGCUACCCGAAAAUGUCAACACUUCAUGACAUGAUGAUCAGACAACCACUUGAGCAACUUGGCACCCUUUCCCACUUCUCGGCACACAUCCUCAACUGCUGAGGUAUGAACCACUAACAUCAUUAGUGACCAUAUCUGCGACUAGUUGUGUGUCUUUGGCUUUGCUGUGCAUGGCACAAAAUACUGCCGAACAGAACCCUGAAGUACUUUGGCCUUUGUUUCAAGAGAAAUCUGCAACGUCGUUCCAAUAUCCGUGAUUAGAGUAGUUGCGCAUUUGGUUGUUGGAACAGAGAAACAAAAUAGCCAAGCGUACAUAUAACAAACACUGCAUUGCAUUCCAAAGUGUAAAAUUGGUUUCACAAAGUGAUUAAAUGAUAGCAAGUGUUGAGGAACAGAAAUCAGAAAAGUGAGUAUGACAUCAUUCAAAAAGCUCCAUCACUAAUACGAAGUGUUUGAUGGAAUUAUUG